CCUAAGAGAGGACUGUGGCACAAGGAGUCAUGCAGAUGAGAAGACAAACAUGCCAGAAUGGGGUGGUGCCUCAGUGAACUACCUGAAGAUUGAUCUCAGUCUCCCAUUCAGGAGUCUUUGGAGCAGCCUCAGAAAGUUCCAUUCCCAACUUUUCUUCAAGCUGCAUAUGACCAGUUCAUUACAAGAAAUGAAGCUUUGGGCGCCUGGGUGGCUCAGAUGG